AACAAUUGCACUGUAUAGUUUUGUUCACUCCAACUUCCGGUUUACUUCACAUGAUACAGGACCCUUCUCUGAAGAGGCCUCUGGAUCUUGGUAAAGCGGAAGCUGGCCUAUACAAACUGUCUUGGGUGCCUUCUUCCCCUUCUUCCUCUCCUGGUUCUUCUGUUACUUCUGUGUGUGCUUUGUCUGAUUUUUGUAAUGAUGACAAUGUGUCUGACAGCAAAAAUGUUGGCUUGUCUCCAAUUGUAAAUAAUUCCAUUUGUGAUAAUGCUGUUACAUCUGAUAUGAAUUACAUUUGGCAUUUAAGACUAGCACAUACUCCUUUUGCUAAUAUGAAACAUAUUUCUGGUUUGUCUUUUCCACUUGCUUUUAAACAACCUUUUCCUUGCUCUGUCUGCCCAAUAUGAAUUACAUUUGACAUUUAAGACUAACACAUACUCCUUUUGCAAAUUUGAGACAUAUUUCUGGUUUGUCUUUCCCACUUGCUUCUAAACAACCUUUUCCUUGUUCUGUCUGCCCUAUGGCCAAAUAGACUAGACUCCCUUUUCAUGACAGCAGUAUCAGUACCACUUGACCAUUCCAGUUAAUACAUGUGGAUACUUGGGGGCCCUACCACACUUCUACUUCUUCUGGUUAUAAAUACUUCCUUACUAUAGUUGAUGAUUUUUCUAGGGCAACCUGGACACACUUAAUGGGAUCUAAAAGGUUUGUCUUUUCCACUUGCUUCUAAACAACCUUUUCCUUGUUCUGUCUGCCCUAUGGCCAAAUAGACUAGACUCCCUUUUCAUGACAGCAGUAUCAGUACUACUAGACCAGUCCAAUUAAUA
rnacentral:lncRNA from 1 species